GGGGCGGGAGUUUGCAUGAGAGGAAGGAGGGUGCUGAGAGAUGGGAAAAAGCUUGCCCCCUUCUUUCUUGCUUUCCUCAGAGAGGCUACUGGGCUUUCUUGCCUUUCUCAGAGAGGCUCCCGGGAGCCUCUCUGAGAAUCACUGACCGUGGGAGACUUGCCGUGGUGGAGGGAGACCUCGGGCCUUUCCAGGGACCCUCAGGAUGCUGAGGUUUUCCUCGCCUUUGCCAAGUUCUGCUCCAAUUCCCAUCUAGAAUAGACUCCCUAUCUGAAAAGGUUCUGUUGUAUCUCCCUUAGGAGCCUUGGGGGCGCAGGAGAGGCUGGAGCAGGAAUGUUGAGGCCAAGUGCCCUUUUGAGUUGAGGGCACAGGAGGCUACAGAAAAGGAACUCAAUUCAGAUGGAAAACUACUCCUGGAGAAGAACUGUAGGGUGCUUGGGUGAGUGUCAGAGGUGAGGGCAGCCCAUAGACUCAGAUGCUCAGAGCUGGGAGGGAAUACGGAGAUGAUCAAAUCCAUCCCCCAACCCAUUACACAAGUGGCAAACAAGGCUGAGGCAUCGACCCCUGAUAGAAGCUUGUGCCCACCCUGAGGGGAGGGUGUGGGGAGGAUGGCGUUUGACAAACUACGCCAUUCCCUUUCUACCGCUCUGGGAACUCACAGCCACUGACAGCCCAGAGGCUGCGUUCGUGCAGGGAUGGGGCAGCCACAUGCCUGACAGAGCCCUUAAAUAUACCAAGGUCCAGAGUCAGCCAGGCCAAGCAUUUGGGGGUCUUGGGCCACUGUGAUCGCACGUAAAUGGUCAGGGGUCUUCCUAGCCAGGGACACCCCCAAGCCAUGCCAAGCCCUUCCCUGGCUUUGCCCAACAAUAGAUGGUUCUGGUCCCCGCGUCUGGCUCCCGAGGUCCUGCUGCACUUGUGCCAACGCUGUGCUGAGGACUGCCAGCCCCAGGGUGGGGGGUGAGCCUGGGUGUGGCUGAGCUGUGCCAGUCUGUGCCCUGCCAGCCACUCUCUGCCCUCCUGAGAGACAGCUGUAGCUGGAAGAGUCUGCUUCUUAGGAGACUCUGAGCUGGAAUGGGGGCCAAGAGGCUCGGGUGAGGAUGGGGGCGGGGCUCAGCCCUGGGCUGCCGCCACUGCUAACCCUGAGUGGCGCUGUCCUUUCCUGGAGGGACAGAAGCUGCUGGUGCCUGGCUGCAAGGCAGGGGCUUCCCCUCCAGACCCUGGCACCUGAGAGCUCUGGGAUGUGGGUGGAGGAGGCAGAGAGGGGCCUUCUUGUUUGGUGCGGCCUGGAGAGGGGCAAGAAGACUGUGAACCAGAAGAGUCUAGAAAGCCCUCAGAGAAGUACCCAGUUCCUUCAGAGUUUGAAGCCUGUUACCGAGAUGGACUGCCUGAGGCGGAGGUCCUUCCUCCCAUCCUGUUAAGUCUGCCCUGCAAGGUCUGGGAUGCGCUGAGGGAGCCUCGUCCACACCUCAGGCCUCCAGCCCCAGCUGCUCCCUGUCCAAAAACAGCCCUGAAGUUCUUUGCUGUGCUCAGCGCCCACCUGCACCGCCUCUCCCGACCAUCGCUCCAAGCAAGACUGCCCAGUGAUGACGGCAGUCACUCCACACCACUCAGGUCUCCAACCCAGGGCCGGGAGACAGCUGUCCGGUAAGAAGGCUUUACUUUUGGAGUCUGGCUUUUUCCCCGGCAAGUCCCUCUGUUCCCGAGCUCCCAGCACCUGCCAGCAGCACGUCCCCGUCGUCCUCCGUCCUCCCUCCUCUAGUAUGGCCACCUGGCCAGGGUGCUGGGAAGCAGAGGGUAGAGUGAAUCUUCAGGCUGUGGAGGCCAGUUGCCUUUCAUCCGCAGGCUCCAGAGAUUGAAAGCUGAGCUUCCCCAAACAGCAGCCCUAGACUCACUCCCUCCCUCCCUAAAUGCAAGAGGAAUCAUGGAAACUGGGGAAAGGAAAACAAACCUUCAGAGGAGAAAUUUCGUUUUAAUGACACCAUUCAUCAUUCAUUUUUUAAUUAGGAAAAGCUCCCUAAUGAGCCGCUUUUGACAGCUAAUGGGAUUCUCAACUUCCAUGAGGAUCAUUCUUGCCCAGAGGAUUAGGGGAGUUGCUGCUCGCCAAGCCUGGAUCUUCUUUCCCCAGUGUCCAAUUUAGUUUGCAAAUAAUGAUGAUUCCCGGGUGCAGUGGAAACCCUUUCCUGACAUCAUUCAUGUUGCUCCCAGUGCUGGCUGGAAAGCUCUGAAACUCCUCUGCCUUAAAAAACUGCCCAACACUGAUCUUCCUCUGCCCAGGACUUGAGUAAGUGGAAACAAAAAACACAAGCUGCAAUGUUUGUUUCGAAAUAUUUUUAUAUUGUGUAUAUUGUGUAUAUUUUUGUUGUAACAUAUUAUUUGAGCACAGAUUCCAUUAAAGAUUUUUUUUUUUUUCUUU
rnacentral:lncRNA from 1 species